rnacentral:rRNA from 1 species
UACGUAGGGUGCAAGCGUUGUCCGGAAUUAUUGGGCGUAAAGAGCUCGUAGGCGGUUUGUUGCGUCGGCUGUGAAAUCCCGAGGCUCAACCUCGGGUCUGCAGUCGAUACGAGCAAACUAGAGUGUUGCAGGGGAGACUGGAAUUCCCGGUGUAGCGGUGAAAUGCGCAGAUAUCUGGAGGAACACCGGUGGCGAAGGCGGCAUUCUGGACUGUAACUGACACUGAGGAACGAAAGCCAGGGGAGCAAACGGG